UCCCACAUAGCUCAGUUGGUAGAGCGCGUCACUAGUAUCCCAGAAUGGGUUAACCGAUUACAUGACGAGGUCAAUAGUUCAAAUCUGUUUGUGGGAA